rnacentral:rRNA from 1 species
UACGUAGGGUGCAAGCGUUAAUCGGAAUUACUGGGCGUAAAGCGUGCGCAGGCGGUUUUGUAAGUCAGAUGUGAAAUCCCCGGGCUCAACCUGGGAACUGCAUUUGAAACUGCAAGGCUAGAGUGUGUCAGAGGGGGGUAGAAUUCCACGUGUAGCAGUGAAAUGCGUAGAGAUGUGGAGGAAUACCGAUGGCGAAGGCAGCCCCCUGGGAUAACACUGACGCUCAUGCACGAAAGCGUGGGGAGCAAACAGG